UAGAAAGUAGUGUAGGGGAAGCACGAGGAGUUUUGAUCUCUAAUGAGUAGGUUCGAGUCCUAUUUUUCUAA
rnacentral:tRNA from 1 species